rnacentral:rRNA from 1 species
UCCUGGCUCAGGAUGAACGCUGGCGGCGUGCUUAACACAUGCAAGUCGAACGCUGAAGCUCCCAGCUUGCUGGGGGUGGAUGAGUGGCGAACGGGUGAGUAUCACGUGAGUAACCUGCCCUUGACUCUGGGAUAAGCCCGGGAAACUGGGUCUAAUACUGGAUAGGACUGGCCAUCGCAUGGUGGUUGGUUGAAAGCUUUUGCGGUUUUGGAUGGACUCGCGGCCUAUCAGCUUGUUGGUGGGGUAAUGGCCUACCAAGGCUUUGACGGGUAGCCGGCCUGAGAGGGUGACCGGCCACACUGGGACUGAGACACGGCCCAGACUCCUACGGGAGGCAGCAGUGGGGGAUAUUGCACAAUGGGCGCAAGCCUGAAUGCAGCGACGCCGCGUGAGGGAUGACGGCCUUCGGGUUGUAAACCUCUUUCAGUUGGGAAGAAGCCUUUCGGGGUGACGGUACCUUCAGAAGAAGCACCGGCUAACUACGUGCCAGCCGCUGC